GGGGAUGUGGCUUAGUGGUAAAGUGCUUGCCUGCAAAGCAGGAGGCCCUGGGUUUAAAUCCCCAAGCACCA
rnacentral:tRNA from 1 species